GACAGAGGUGCCGAGCGUUAGGCGGAAUCACUGGGCUUAAAGCGUGUGUAGGUGGAUGCCUAAGUACCUUGUGAAAUCCCACGGCUUAACCGUGGAACUGCUUGGUAUACUGGGUGUCUUGAGCCAGCUAGGGGCUACCGGAACAAAUGGUGGAGCGGUGAAAUGCGUAGAUAUCAUUUGGAACGCCAAUGGUGAAAACAGGUAGCUGGGGCUGUGCUGACACUGAGACACGAAGCCAGGGGAGCGAACGGG
rnacentral:rRNA from 1 species